UGAUAAAUUCCAAGAAAGGAACUCGAGGCGUUUGAAGGCUCCAAUAGCCAUAGAAAGAGGGAUGCAAAAGACAGAUGAAUCCAGCUCUAGCAAGAUAGUGACGGGCCAGGAAGUGGAAAGUCCAUCUCUGAAGCAGUUCAUCUGCAUUAAUGUCGGCUGAGCAGCGUUCAGCAGAGAGACAGCUUCCCAAUCUUUCAUCCCUGACAUCUGUGGAGAACACUGGAGCUGUGUUUGUUCACAGGCAUCAGCCCAUUCCACCCUGUACAAUAAAGCAGGUGCAGAUGCCUCGAGUGAGUUCUUUUUAGACACAGCCUGUGUCCCCAGUGGCCAGCUGACUUCAAUGAGCCAACAUCCAUCUGGACCCAGAGUUGCAGCUCUCGCCAGGAUGGGCAUGGGGCACUGGAGGAGCUCCUGGACCCCAGAACUGAACAUCCACGCCCCUCAAGAAACAGGGUGGUGAAGGCUCCUGCAAGCCUCUUCCUCGAGGUGCUGCUGAAAGGUGAGCUGGGGUCUCAGCCUGAAACGGUGACGGCCAAGAAGAGCUUCAGACUUCCCUCAAGGUCAGAAGCGCUGCCGGUGGCUGGACGUAUUCUCUCCGUUUCCGUGGGCAGACUCAGAACCAGCAGAGGGAAGACACAGGAAGAAGAAAACUCCCUCUUGCUUUUCACUAGAACCUCUCACGCCACAGGAGGGAUGCGCUUAGGUGGAAACAACCGGGGGCCUGUAAGCAGGGGCCAGACACUGGAGCAGCGACACAGCACCAGGUGGAAGGACGGGGUGUCGAGACCUUUCUAGUUGCAUCCGACCUUGACCGUCUCUGACUCAACAGAAUGAACACAAAGCCACCGGAGACCUCCCGGUCACCUGCCUACAAGGCUCUCCUCUGGGCCUAAAAAUAAGAUUCCCUCAGUCCAGCUCCAAAUUAGAUCCUUAAUAACGUGUCGCUGCCGUGUCUAUAAAUAUGUCUCUUUGAGGGCCGGUUAAUAUAAUUAUUCUAAUCGGCUACACCCCCUAGAAGGGCUGCCAGCUGCCUCCUCAGCCUGGCUGCGUUCUGGAUCCGACCCUCCUCACCCUCACCCAGGGCCACGGCUCCCCGUCCUUGGAGCAGUCACCAGGAUGACAGUGGGCACUGGGCAUGGGCAGUCCCCCUGGUCCCCUCUCUCUAAUGCCCCUGGGACAUUCACUCCAUUUCAGGGUCCCACAGUCUUCCCUGGUCAUUCACCCCCAAGCCUUCCAACAGAAGAUGGGGUGAAAACUCAAAUGCCUACAAGGGCCAGACAGCAAAAACAUGUAAGUCAGACACAAGGUAAUGUGACAGGGAGUAUGAUGGGCUGACUUGUGUCCCCGCAAAAUUCCUAUCUUGAAGUCCUAACCCCCAAGACCCCAGAAUGUGGCUGGAUUUAGAGACAGGGUCUUAAAAGAGAUGAUAAGGUUAGCAUAAGGUCAUUGGGGUAGGCCCUAACCCAAUAGGACCGAUGUCCUUACAAGAAGAGAUGAGGACACAGACAUGCACAGAGGGACGAUGACAUGAAGACGCAGGGGGAAGAUGGUCAUCUACAAGCCAAGAAGAGAGAGGCCUCAGAAGAAAUCAAUGCUGCGGGUACCUUGAUCUCAGACAGACACCCUCUAGAACUCUGAGAAAAUAAAUUUCCACUGUGUGAGCCA